rnacentral:rRNA from 1 species
CGAACGGACGAGAAGCUUGCUUCUCUGAUGUUAGCGGCGGACGGGUGAGUAACACGUGGAUAACCUACCUAUAAGACUGGGAUAACUUCGGGAAACCGGAGCUAAUACCGGAUAAUAUUUUGAACCGCAUGGUUCAAAAGUGAAAGACGGUCUUGCUGUCACUUAUAGAUGGAUCCGCGCUGCAUUAGCUAGUUGGUAAGGUAACGGCUUACCAAGGCAACGACGCAUAGCCGACCUGAGAGGGUGAUCGGCCACACUGGAACUGAGACACGGUCCAGACUCCUACGGGAGGCAGCAGUAGGGAAUCUUCCGCAAUGGGCGAAAGCCUGACGGAGCAACGCCGCGUGAGUGAUGAAGGUCUUCGGAUCGUAAAACUCUGUUAUUAGGGAAGAACAUAUGUGUAAGUAACUGUGCACAUCUUGACGGUACCUAAUCAGAAAGCCACGGCUAACUACGUGCCAGCAGCCGCGGUAAUACGUAGGUGGCAAGCGUUAUCCGGAAUUAUUGGGCGUAAAGCGCGCGUAGGCGGUUUUUUAAGUCUGAUGUGAAAGCCCACGGCUCAACCGUGGAGGGUCAUUGGAAACUGGAAAACUUGAGUGCAGAAGAGGAAAGUGGAAUUCCAUGUGUAGCGGUGAAAUGCGCAGAGAUAUGGAGGAACACCAGUGGCGAAGGCGACUUUCUGGUCUGUAACUGACGCUGAUGUGCGAAAGCGUGGGGAUCAAACAGGAUUAG